ACGGGAGGCAGCAGUGGGGAAUAUUAGGCAAUGGGGGAAACCCUGACCUAGCAACGCCGCGUGAAGGAUGAAGGUUUUCGGAUUGUAAACUUCUUUGGCAGGGGACGAUAAUGACGGUACCCUGAGAACAAGCCACGGCUAACUACGUGCCAGCAGCCGCGGUAAUACGUAGGUGGCAAGCGUUGUCCGGAUUUACUGGGUGUAAAGGGCGAGUAGGCGGGUCUACAAGUCAGAUGUGAAAAACCGAGGCUUAACUUCGGUCCUGCAUUUGAAACUGCAGAUCUUGAGUGGUGGAGAGGUAAGCGGAAUUCCCGGUGUAGCGGUGAAAUGCAUAGAGAUCGGGAGGAACACCAGUGGCGAAGGCGGCUUACUGGACACUAACUGACGCUGAGGCGCGAAAGUGUGGGGAGCAAACAGGAUUAGAUACCCUGGUA
rnacentral:rRNA from 2 species